UAUAAUUUAAAGUAGGGCCUGCCCACUGAGUAUUUGAAGGGCCGCAGUAUUUUGACUGUGCAAAGGUAGCAUAAUCAUUAGUUUUUUAAUUGAAAGCUUGUAUGAAUGGUUUGAUGAGAAAAAAGCUUUCUAUAUCUUAAUUUUUAAGAAUUUUAUUUUUAAGUUAAAAAGCUUAAAUUUUUAUAAUAGACGAGAAGACCCUAUAGAGUUUUAUUUUUGUUAAAAUUUAAAUUUUUAGAAUUUAAUAAUUUUAAUUUUUAAUAAUAAUUUGAUUGGGGUGAUUAAAAAAUUAAAUAAACUUUUUUUAUAUUAAAACAUAGAUUUAUG
rnacentral:rRNA from 1 species